UUUUUUCAUCUAUGUUCAUCAGUCUCAUUUGUUUUCUUCUACUUACUAAGUAAUUCCUCAACUGAUACUUGAUUGUAUUCCAGAGUUGCUUUCCAUCAGUAGAAGCUUUCAGGGUCCUAGAAUCUCUAAAACUCUUUUACAGAGCCCCAAAAGGUUGAAUAAUUACUGUGCUAAUUAUUCUUGCCAGUACUGAGAAAAAAGUUUGUGCAGUACUUUCUACAAAUAAUACCUUACAUAAUGUUAAAUUGUAGAGCAGCGGAGGUCUGAAUCUACACCUGGAGCCAGCAGAGAUCUUUAUGUGGUGGCAGAGGUUCACUUCUAGUGUUCUGAAGUAUUUUCUUUUAAUCUAAAAUAUUCUAUUGUAGAGUAAAAAACUCUAUAAUUAAAUAUUUAAACAUUAUCUGUAUUUGGACAAUACACCAUCUAUCCGUUUUAUUCCAAAAUGUCAGGAAUCUGUUUGCUCUAGCAUGUUGGUUAGAAUUGCUCUUCAGUAGUGUAGUUAAAUGAAAUAGUGUAUUUCAUCCCUGAAGUUAGAAUUAUACAGCUUUUUCCCUUCAUCUGACAAGUUGGUAGAAUGCUCAGAAGCUAUGUGUGUGUUUUGCAGCCUCAUUUCUGAGAGAGGAUUAUUUCAAGAGAUUUUGUUGUUUUGCUUGCUUUAGUGACAAGUAGCAGUAGCUUGUUAUGACCUCCCUUUGACUCCCCAUCACCUGCUUUUAGGCUCAUUUUUAGUAAGAUUAUCUUCAGCUGCUACUGCACGUGCUUAAUAGAUAGAAUUUAUUAUGUUUGAUACGAUAGUUUAUAGUGUAUAAUAAUGAUUCAGAAACCUUAAAACUUCUUUGCUGUUUUUCUGGUUUUAAUUUAAAUCAUCUAAUUCAGCCAUCUUACACCUUUUAGCUCUUUUGUUUUUAAUCAGAUUAAAAUAUGCAACAUCACAUCUGAGAAACCAAAUACAAUUGUUAUCCAAGCAGAGGAAAAUGAAUGAGAAUUUGAAUUGUUACAUUUGGAAAAGGGAAAAGACCAAGAAAGUCAGUCUGAGGUCAGACAAACCAGGUCAGCAGUGCAGGCUAGUCCACAAGGCACCUAGCUGGUUAAAGAAGCAGAAAAUGGAACUGGAGACAAGGGAGUCAGAUUGCAAACCAGAAUUAUGUUCAGAAGAAGAUCUAGGUCACUGUAAAGAGAGCAAAGUGUGAGAGCCAGAGGAGGCAAGCUACAAAGCCAAGUGACAAUGUGUUGAUACAUAUGGAAAUACUGUAAGAAAUAAGCCUGAUGUUAACAUUGAAUGAAUGCUGCCAAGAUAGCCCUUACUACAGUAGGCCAGUUAACCUGAAAACAUCCUGGACAAAAUAACAAAACAGGUGCGUGAUUCACUUUCUUAUGAACUAACAAUUAGGAAUAAAGUUACUUCCAAUCAACA
rnacentral:lncRNA from 1 species